rnacentral:rRNA from 1 species
UACGGAGGGUGCAAGCGUUACUCGGAAUCACUGGGCGUAAAGGACGCGUAGGCGGAUUAUCAAGUCUUUUGUGAAAUCUAACGGCUUAACCGUUAAACUGCUUGGGAAACUGAUAAUCUAGAGUGGGGGAGAGGCAGAUGGAAUUCUUGGUGUAGGGGUAAAAUCCGUAGAGAUCAAGAAGAAUACCCAUUGCGAAGGCGAUCUGCUAGAACCUAACUGACGCUAAUGCGUGAAAGCGUGGGGAGCAAAC